AUACGGAGGAUCCGAGCGUUAUCCGGAUUUAUUGGGUUUAAAGGGUGCGUAGGCGGACUGGUAAGUCAGCUGUGAAAGUUUGCGGCUUAACCGUAAAAUUGCAGUUGAUACUGUCAGUCUUGAGUGUGCAUGAGGUGGGCGGAAUUUGUGGUGUAGCGGUGAAAUGCUUAGAUAUCACGAGGAACUCCAAUUGCGAAGGCAGCUCACUGGGGCAUAACUGACGCUGAUGCACGAAGGUUUGGGUAUCAAACAGUAUUAGAUACAAUGGUAGUCCACACAGUAAACUAUGAAUACUCGCUGUUUGCGAUAUACAGUAAGCGGCCAAGCGAAAGCAUUAAGUAUUCCACCUUGGGAGUACGCCAGUAACGGGGAAACUCAAAGGAAUUGACGGGG
rnacentral:rRNA from 1 species